GCAACCUACCUUAAUCAGGGGGAUAGCCCGGAGAAAUCCGGAUUAAUACCGCAUAAAAUCACAGUCCCACCUGGGACAAUGAUCAAACAUUUAUGGGAUUAAGAUGGGCAUGCGUGUCAUUAGCUAGUUGGCGGGGUAACGGCCCACCAAGGCGACGAUGACUAGGGGAUCUGAGAGGAUGGCCC
rnacentral:rRNA from 1 species